GAUGAACGCUGGCGGCGUGCCUAAUACAUGCAAGUCGAGCGAACAGACGAGGAGCUUGCUCCUCUGACGUUAGCGGCGGACGGGUGAGUAACACGUGGAUAACCUACCUAUAAGACUGGGAUAACUUCGGGAAACCGGAGCUAAUACCGGAUAAUAUAUUGAACCGCAUGGUUCAAUAGUGAAAGACGGUUUUGCUGUCACUUAUAGAUGGAUCCGCGCCGCAUUAGCUAGUUGGUAAGGUAACGGCUUACCAAGGCAACGAUGCGUAGCCGACCUGAGAGGGUGAUCGGCCACACUGGGACUGAGACACGGUCCAGACUCCUACGGGAGGCAGCAGUAGGGAAUCUUCCGCAAUGGGCGAAAGCCUGAAGGAGCAACGCCGCGUGAGUGAUGAAGGUCUUCGGAUCGUAAAACUCUGUUAUUAGGGAAGAACAAAUGUGUAAGUAACUAUGCACGUCUUGACGGUACCUAAUCAGAAAGCCACGGCUAACUACGUG
rnacentral:rRNA from 1 species